UACGGAGGGGGCUAGCGUUGUUCGGAAUUACUGGGCGUAAAGGGCGCGUAGGCGGCGGAUCAAGUCAGGCGUGAAAGGCCCGGGCUCAACCCGGGGACUGCGCUUGAUACUGGUUUGCUUGAGUCCGGGAGAGGAUGGCGGAAUUCCCAGUGUAGAGGUGAAAUUCGUAGAUAUUGGGAAGAACACCAGUGGCGAAGGCGGCCAUCUGGACCGGAACUGACGCUGAGGCGCGAAAGCGUGGGGAGCAAACAGG
rnacentral:misc_RNA from 1 species